UACGUAGGAGGCAAGCGUUGUCCGGAAUUACUGGGCGUAAAGCGCGUGUAGGUGGUGGGGACAAGUCUGCUGUGAAAGCGCCUGGCUUAACCGGGCGAGGUCGGCGGAAACUGUCCGACUCGAGGACGGUAGAGGGGUGGAAUUCCCGGGUGUAGCAGUGAAAAUGCGUAGAUAUCUGGAGGAACACCGAUGGCGAAGGCAGCCCCUGGGCUAACACUGACGCUGAUGCACGAAAGCGUGGGGAGCAACAGG
rnacentral:rRNA from 1 species